GCCAUUUUAACUCUAGGAAAAGUUCUAUAUUGUGGCUGGCAGAAGUCAGAAUGUUAGGGAGAAGGAGAAAGAAAGGGGUAUGUUGGCAGAGGGAAUGAAGUCAAGGAAGUAAUUGUGGGUUUUGUGUGCAGUAGAAUUCCCUGCCUCUCAGUACAGGGGUGAAAGAAGGCUUCUCAGUCUAAACAUAGCAUUGGCUGAUUGCUGUGUGCUGUGUGCUGAAAGGUUUCUGCCCUGAUGACCGUGUGAGUGGGAGGUAUAAACUGUAAGGAAGAAUUGUGCCAGUAUGAUACAGCUGCUUGCCAUAUGUGUUGGAGGAAAGAACAUGUGAUUGUGAGGAGUAU
rnacentral:lncRNA from 1 species